rnacentral:lncRNA from 1 species
CCGGGCAUGAUUUGUUUUGUUUUAAUUCUUUUUAAAACCAGGCACAGCUCUUAUCUGUGCGGAAACACUAAAUUCUUGGUAUCUUUUUGUUCCCCUGCAGAUGAUUUGACAGCGAUGUUUACAGAACUCACGAUUUAGGGAAAAAAAACCAAAAACGAGAAGGGAGGAAAGAAUAGAAGCGAACUGAACUGAGCUGACCCAAGAGAGGCUCCUGCCACUCCACGAAGCAGCUGUUAAUGAUGCCUUUGAUAAGACUUUAAUGACAUUUAGAGAGGACUGGGCACAUGUGGCAGGACGCAGGGCUUCUCCUCGGAGCGGGCACGUGGUAAUAUUUGAUCAGCGAUACUGCGUUACAGGAGCUGUCUCCAGACUGAAGUCCUCCAGAGAACUCCAAAACAAAUGGCUGUCCUGAAGCUCUUUUCAGUGGGUAGCUGCCCAGCUGCCUUUACUGACGCUCUCUGAAAUGUCUGCCCAGCAAACCAGGCGUGAAGGGCACCGGAGGAGCGAUCCUUAUCUUCUGGGAACAACGGAGCUCUGCACAGCAAGGCAAGGCUUUGGAGAUGGAUUUCUGCUCCCUCCUUGGUUCAGGAUACUGGCCCCUGGGAAUACAGCCCUUUAUGGAUCCUCACCGAACGAGGCUGGGAUUUAAAAAGCAAAGCUGAACUUUCCGACCUGAAACCUCAAAUCCUUUUCUGAUGGUUUUUGUAACUGGAAAGCGGAAAUAGAGUCUUCAGUAAUUCAAAAGAGAUUUAAUGAUCAAAGCUGCAAUUAAAGGCGUGGUGAGUCAUCUUACAGUCGUCCAUGUGCUAAAACGCACAGGCUGUGCAAGAGAUCAUGUUGUCAUGGCUGGUUUUACUCAAAACGAGGAUAUAGGAGCUGCUAUUACUUCCAGCUUCAGAAACAAUCUGAGUUCUGCUGACCUGUGUUUAUAGAGCAGAAGAAAAGGCAACAGUCCUGACUCCCCCAUUUGUGUAUUUAUUUAGUAGUUCUGUCUGCAGCAUCUGAAUUCAUUAUGGUGCGUUAUUACUUUUCACCUUCUUUCAGAGUGUCUGCUCUCAGUAGGAACUUUGAUUUUUUUUUUCAUUUACACUAACAAAUUACCCACCAAAACAAAUACGGAAGAGCUGAUCUUCAGAGUACUAUGGGGCUUUUUUUCUUUCUGCAGCAUGCAUUAACAAUGAAAUAUUUAACUGAACUUUUCACAGCAUGUGCAUUUUUUCAAAUUAAAAUUGCAAAAGACAAGGAAAUGAAGAUAAAAAUAUCCAACCAAGCUGUUUCUCCGAAACCCUCACAAGUAAUCUAAUAUUUCCCUUUAAAUCCUGUUGUUUUAUUCUGCUCAAUACAAAACAUAGUGCUAAAGACAAUUUGGUUUUAGUAAAGGAGAAACUUCUUCCUAAAAACAUUUAGCCAGUCACACGAAAGCAACUAAAGGGAAGCGGGAGAAUUGGUAACUCUCUACUGGAAAAAUGUAAUAAAAAUUUUGACAAUCUGCUACAAGUCUUGCUUUCCCUGUUCCUCAGUUCCCUUCCUAGUGGUAUUUCAUGUUUUAUUUUCAAUUUCUCAUAAUGGUUGCAGUAUUCAAACUCUAACCCACUAGAAUGUGA